UACGUAGGGGUCGAGCGUUGUCCGGAGUUACUGGGCGUAAAGCGUGUGCAGGCGGCUCAUUGCGCCCGGCGUGAAAGCCCCCGGCUCAACCGGGGAGAGUCGUCGGGGACGGGUGAGCUUGAGGGUAUCAGGGGCUGGUGGAAUUCCCGGUGUAGUGGUGAAAUGCGUAGAUAUCGGGAGGAGCACCCGUGGCGAAGGCGGCUCACUGGCCCGAUACUGACGCUGAGGCACGAAAGCGUGGGGAGCAAACAGG
rnacentral:rRNA from 1 species